AUUGCUUCUCUGCCUUUCGGCUAAAAUCAAGUGUAGUAUCUGUUCAAAUAUAUAUGCCAUGCAUAUAGUCUAAAGGACUUUUCUUUUCUAUUUUAGGAAAUUGAGGGUGGGGUAAGAGUGUUUGCUAUGUAAGCAUGGGUGUCUGGGUUUGAAUCCCUGGCAUCUAUACACA
ensembl:snRNA Rnu2-66 RNA, U2 small nuclear 66